rnacentral:rRNA from 1 species
AUACGUAGGUGACAAGCGUUAUCCGGCUUUACUGGGCGUAAAGGGCGUGUAGGCGGUCUUGCAAGUCAGAAGUGAAAUUCCUGAGCUCAACUCGGGCGCUGCUUCUGAAACUGCAGGACUUGAGUGCUGGAGGGGAUAGCGGAAUUCCUAGUGGAGCGGUAAAAUGCGCAGAUAUUAGGAAGAACACCGGUGGCGAAGGCGGCGAUCUGGAAGGUAAACGCCGCUGAGGCGCGAAAGCGUGGGGAGAAAACGGGAGUAGAUACCCUGGAAGUCCACGCCGUAAACGAUGAAUACUAGGUGUAGGGGGUAUCGACUCCCUCUGUGCCGCAGUUAACACAAUAAGUAUGCCGCCUGGGGAGUACGGCCGCAAGGUGGAAACUCAAAUGAAUUGACGGGG